AUCUGGCUGACGAGUUCCAAAUAAAACGAAACACACGUGCAGGAU
rnacentral:hammerhead_ribozyme from 1 species